GACGUAGGGUGCAAGCGUUGUCCGGAUUUAUUGGGCGUAAAGAGCUCGUAGGCGGCUUGUUGCGUCGACUGUGAAAACCCGCGGCUUAACCGCGGGCUUGCAGUUGAUACGGGCAGGCUAGAGUUCGGUAGGGGAGACUGGAAUUCCUGGUGUAGCGGUGAAAUGCGCAGAUAUCAGGAGGAACACCGGUGGCGAAGGCGGGUCUCUGGGCCGAUACUGACGCUGAGGCGCGAAAGCGUGGGGAGCAAACGGG
rnacentral:rRNA from 1 species